rnacentral:sRNA from 1 species
AGUUUUCGUCGCCUCUGAGGGGCGCCCCGCGGCUUUGGAUUUGACCCCGUCAGGCUACCGUCGCGGUGACCGGAACGGCACUAAAGAGGACAAAAGCAUGUCUUCCCUUCCUGGGUGCAUUGGUUUGGAUGCAGCAACAGCUACAGUGGAGUCUGAAGAGAUUGCAGAGCUGCAACAGGCAGUGGUUGAGGAACUGGGUAUCUCUAUGGAGGAACUUCGGCAUUUCAUCGAUGAGGAACUGGAGAAGAUGGAUUGUGUACAGCAACGCAAGAAGCAGCUAGCAGAGUUAGAGACGUGGGUAAUACAGAAAGAAUCUGAGGUGGCUCACGUUGACCAACUCUUUGAUGAUGCAUCCAGGGCAGUGACUAAUUGUGAGUCUUUGGUGAAGGACUUCUACUCCAAGCUGGGACUACAAUACCGGGACAGUAGCUCUGAGGACGAAUCUUCCCGGCCUACAGAAAUAAUUGAGAUUCCUGAUGAAGAUGAUGAUGUCCUCAGUAUUGAUUCAGCUCCGUGAAGCUAUGGCUGCCUUAAGAAAGUCAGCUCAAGAUGUUCAGA